UUGAACGCUGGCGGCAGGCCUAACACAUGCAAGUCGAGCGGUAGCACAGAGAGCUUGCUCUCGGGUGACGAGCGGCGGACGGGUGAGUAAUGUCUGGGAAACUGCCUGAUGGAGGGGGAUAACUACUGGAAACGGUAGCUAAUACCGCAUAAUGUCGCAAGACCAAAGUGGGGGACCUUCGGGCCUCAUGCCAUCAGAUGUGCCCAGAUGGGAUUAGCUAGUAGGUGGGGUAACGGCUCACCUAGGCGACGAUCCCUAGCUGGUCUGAGAGGAUGACCAGCCACACUGGAACUGAGACACGGUCCAGACUCCUACGGGAGGCAGCAGUGGGGAAUAUUGCACAAUGGGCGCAAGCCUGAUGCAGCCAUGCCGCGUGUGUGAAGAAGGCCUUCGGGUUGUAAAGCACUUUCAGCGGGGAGGAAGGCGUUAAGGUUAAUAACCUUGGCGAUUGACGUUACCCGCAGAAGAAGCACCGGCUAACUCCGUGCCAGCAGCCGCGGUAAUACGGAGGGUGCAAGCGUUAAUCGGAAUUACUGGGCGUAAAGCGCACGCAGGCGGUCUGUCAAGUCGGAUGUGAAAUCCCCGGGCUCAACCUGGGAACUGCAUUCGAAACUGGCAGGCUAGAGUCUUGUAGAGGGGGGUAGAAUUCCAGGUGUAGCGGUGAAAUGCGUAGAGAUCUGGAGGAAUACCGGUGGCGAAGGCGGCCCCCUGGACAAAGACUGACGCUCAGGUGCGAAAGCGUGGGGAGCAAACAGGAUUAGAUACCCUGGUAGUCCACGCCGUAAACGAUGUCGAUUUGGAGGUUGUGCCCUUGAGGCGUGGCUUCCGGAGCUAACGCGUUAAAUCGACCGCCUGGGGAGUACGGCCGCAAGGUUAAAACUCAAAUGAAUUGACGGGGGCCCGCACAAGCGGUGGAGCAUGUGGUUUAAUUCGAUGCAACGCGAAGAACCUUACCUGGUCUUGACAUCCACAGAACUUUCCAGAGAUGGAUUGGUGCCUUCGGGAACUGUGGGACAGGUGCUGCAUGGCUGUCGUCAGCUCGUGUUGUGAAAUGUUGGGUUAAGUCCCGCAACGAGCGCAACCCUUAUCCUUUGUUGCCAGCGGUUCGGCCGGGAACUCAAAGGAGACUGCCAGUGAUAAACUGGAGGAAGGUGGGGAUGACGUCAAGUCAUCAUGGCCCUUACGACCAGGGCUACACACGUGCUACAAUGGCAUAUACAAAGAGAAGCGACCUCGCGAGAGCAAGCGGACCUCAUAAAGUAUGUCGUAGUCCGGAUUGGAGUCUGCAACUCGACUCCAUGAAGUCGGAAUCGCUAGUAAUCGUAGAUCAGAAUGCUACGGUGAAUACGUUCCCGGGCCUUGUACACACCGCCCGUCACACCAUGGGAGUGGGUUGCAAAAGAAGUAGGUAGCUUAACCUUCGGGAGGGCGCUUACCACUUUGUGAUUCAUGACUGGGGUG
rnacentral:rRNA from 1 species